UGACGGUAUCUAACCAGCAAGUCACGGCUAACUACGUGCCAGCAGCCGCGGUAAUACGUAGGUGGCAAGCGUUAUCCGGAUUUAUUGGGCGUAAAGGGAACGUAGGCGGUUUUUUAAGUCUGAUGUGAAAGCCUUCGGCUUAACCGGAGAAUAGCAUUGGAAACUGGAAGACUUGAGUGCAGAAGAGGAGAGUGGAACUCCAUGUGUAGCGGUGAAAUGCGUAGAUAUAUGGAAGAACACCAGUGGCGAAAGCGGCUCUCUGGUCUGUAACUGACGCUGAGGUUCGAAAGCGUGGGUAGCAAACAGGAUUAGAUACCCUG
rnacentral:rRNA from 1 species